UCAAUUCACCCCCUUUUUAUAUUUUCCAUUUUCGUUUCAGUUUUUUUUCUAGCAAGCUCUUUGCAUACUCAAUAGGCUUUUCCCCUCCUCUCUCAUGAUGAUGUCUUAGAUGUCACAAAGAUUUUAUAUACUUUCUUGCUCUGUCCUCUUCACUUCUGAUGCAAUUAUCAGUCUCAUAGUAAAUUGAAAAAACACCCUGACCCUUUAUCUAUUUCCUUUUGCAGAUGUAUUUAUAAAAAUCUAUGUACUUCACAAAAAAAUCUCUACCAGACCACAACCUCUCCUCCCCUGACAUUAAUCUAGAAACCAUCCCAAAACCGAGAUUUCUUUCUGGUGAUGUUAAUCUUAAGUGCUAAAAUGCCUGUCUGUUAUGUUGACAAACAUUUGUUAGAACACCUCUGAUAUUACGAAUCACUUAGGGACUAGGCAAAUAGGAAUUCUGUACCUGCAGAAAAAAAUUGUUUUAUAAUAGGAAACAUAGCCUUUCCUUUUAACCCUAAGAAGUCUCAAGAUAUCAGGUCUUAAAUUUAUUCAUUAUUCUACACAUGAAAGCAACUUCAGACAUGUUCUAGAGCUUUGUUUUUACUGAGAGUUUUGAUUCCCUCCCCCUUUUUUUUUCAUCAUGCGUAGAUGCACAGUAAGAUUUAUUUUACUACAGGGGUUUGAAUUUCUAAGGUAUGAAAAGAUCCCAAACUAUUUUGAAAAGCAAUCCCUCCAAACAUUUUUAUACUUGUAUUUUGAGGGAGAAAACUGUACACAGUAGGCUGCUGUCCUGAAAACAUGUUGCUGGCACUCUUACUAUGCUCUGUGUAAUAAAUGAGUGGCAAAGCUCUCUGUGAGCUCUGAAGUUGUCAUGAAAUAACUGUACCCUCAUCCUUUCAUUGGUCUGUUUUCUGCUAUCUUUUUUCAUGUCAGGCUUCCUGACUUCACCUGUCCCGGGGAGAGGCAGGAUUUCACAAUUGUCCUGUAAUUAUGCUGGGUUCUGGGACACUGUUUAUGUCUACAGUAGCUGUGUUAACCCAGACAGCCUGAAUGGAUUUGUAACUUCUCUUUCAGGAAGUGUGUGAAUACUUUGCUUCCUUAACAAUAGAAUGCUAAUUAACUAUUUAAGCUUAAAUAUGUAAACUUAAAUAUUUCAAAUAAAUAAAUUGAUUUGAAAAUAGCAGUCUAUAUGCAUAUCUGUCCUGCCUCAAGCUUUCCCAUGCACUAAUGGUAGUGUAACCCUGACUAAUUUCUCUGUAAAAUAUACCAACAGCUUGCAUCCCAGACUGCUCAGACAUAAGUCUUGUCUGUUCUGAAACAUCUCUUGAUCUUUCAUAUACUUUUUUUUUCCUGUGCCUGCUUGGAUUUUCAAUAUUUUUGAUGAGAUGCAUUUUUCAGACCGGCUGUAGAAUCAUUAGAAUCUCCUGCACCACCAAAAUGGACAUUAGUGUUUUGUUAAUCUCACUUUCUUCUAAGAGGCACUCCCUUGUACAACAUUUUCUGCUUCUUGUUUUUUCCCCUAAAGCCUACUUAUUGAACUCACCUAAUUUAAGACCAAUAGCCAAGUCAAUAUAUUGUAUUCAUAAAUCAUUACAGAGCAGCUCCACUUUCAUCACAGCAGCUAUGUGACUUCCUGAAGAUCCAACUUUCAGAGCACACUGUCUUGACUUACGUAUCAGAGAGUCGAAACGUCUUUCCCACUGGAGAGAGCUUUGGUACUCUGAUAAUGUAUAUAACCUGUAUUUAUAUUUAUCAGUUAUAUUUUGACAAUGUUGAUACUAAGGGUCUUCAAUAGUGCUGAAAUGGUUCACCAACAUAGGCUUAGCAGAGUACUGUAUGAAAUGUCCUUCCUUGGAUCAGUAAUGCACCAACACUUGUCCUUAGUACCAAUAAAGUAAAUAGCCCUCAUGAUGGUACAGUGCAAAGCUUUAAUUGAUUUUUCCUGUUCAGAAAAUUCAACUAGCUUUGUACCCUUCCAGAUGACUGAGUCCCAUGUAACAUAAGAGUCACAGUCUAUACUUGGGCUGAAAAAUUUUACAUAGCAAUAUCAGAGCUCUUCUCCGAGCCAGUAAAGAAAAGGUUUCCCAGCAACAGCAACAUUGUAGAGGUACUAUCAGAUAAAACAUAAAAUCACAGCCCUGAGCACUAGCUAUCACCAAGCAUUCCCUAACACUCAGCACAAGAUUGAAAGUGUUAGUUCCAUUUUCCUGGCCAGAUUCCCCUGCAAUAUUUAAAUCCAACCUGCUGCUUCCCUUUCUCUUAGAGUUCCAGCUCUUGGUCUCCUGUGUGCUGUUAAAAACUGCCGGUUUCCAGCUGGGGCUAAGGAAAAGGGGAAUUGUGCAGAAGAUAUUUAUUCAUUUGGCACCACAGUGCCCUUUCACAUCUGACUGUGAAAGUUUUCCUGACAGAAGUUGGAGGACGAUCAGAAAUCUGAUGGCAAGGAAAAACAAUCUGAAGACUCUGUUGAUAAACAGGAUGCUCUGCCACAAACUACAAAAAAAGACAUGAAAAUAUUACGUUAAUACUUUUGGAACACAUUACUUACAGUGGUGGCACAGUGGAUGUCUUUCCAUACAUUGGCUUCCCUGGAGAGAUCUGAGACUUCAAAAAGGUUAUCAAGAAUAACUUCCCCAAUCAUGUCAUGUCUAGAAAAUCUGUCAAAAUCAUAAACACUGAAAUGCAAUUUCCUGUUGCUGAGUUGAUCAUAGGCUACAGGAAACUGAAAGGUUUCAUCAAAGACAGGAUUUAAUGUCUUUCUGUGAACUCGUGUCUGAAACUUCUUUUUCCUAUCUGGGAGCAGAUAAAUCUUAACGUAGGGGUCAGAUGUUCCUGUGAAGUCUUUAGCAGGCAGAUCUAAGGCUUUGACAAUUGUGACAGCCAGAAGUUCAUUCUCAUAAUCAUACCGGAGAGUGAAGUUAAGCUUUCCACAUGUUUUCACAUCUUCUUGUUGCCCAUCAGAAUCCACAGACUUCUGUUUGUAGAGUUCCGGUUUUAUUCUCCCAAUGCUGGUUGUUGUCUCUCCCCUUUGCAAAAUCGGGUCUGUCCCCAUGUUAAAAUCAACACUGGACACUUGCAUCUGCCUUGGCAAGUGCCUCCUGAAAGAAUUGUGCCUGCACACAUACACACACACACAGAAUGGGCCAUGGUUAUCUCUGGGAAAAGACUUGGCUAUUACUAAGUAGAAAAUACAAGAAGAACAAAUCAGUAAAUGUUCCUCUCUUUAGAAUAACUUUAAAAUACCUCCCCAUCUCCCCCAUUUCCCCCAAAUAUUUCUAGUGUUAAAACAUCCUUGAGAAGAAAUGAUCAUUCAGAAUGAACUUCUUAACUUCUUGGUCUGAGAGAUACCCAGUGUCCGCACAAUACAUAUAUUUAUAAACUUAUUUUCAGGCUAUGCAGCUGAAACUUAAUUCAGGUUCUUUCACAGAACAAGUUGACAGUUCCAACAUUGCUUGAUCCCACUGUGCUAGGGCCUGAGUAAAGCACAGUCAGGCAGAAAAAAAAUGACUUUCACAAUUGACAUCAGUACUUCCUGGUUCUUGGAGGCAUUCCAUGGUGGUUUUCUAAUUAAAUAUUUACCAAGCUUCACACUGAUCACUAUGAAAGGCACCUGAAAAGGCCAUGCAGAACUACGUCGAGGGGUUUUCAGCACAGUUCAUUCUACAACAUUUUAUAUACACCCACUUGGUAUUUGCUACACUGAGGUACAGGCUGCCUUCUCCAAUCCUACUUGGAAUAUUUUGUUCCGGCUGCAAUACAUUUCAAAGUUCUCAUCAACAUUUUUCUGUGAUAGGUUUUUUAGAUCUGUUCUCACACUGCUGUGUGGUGUAUUAGAAAGCUGAUUCCUAUACUCCCAGCAAGAAACAAUAUGUUUAAAUCCUUGUAAUUCUGAAUUCAGUGUUGCAUAUGUAUUUAUCUUGACUCAUGAACUUCAAUGGAAAUGUGUGCCCUUCCUACUGAGAGUGAAAUCAAACCCCUGACAUGCCAUGCAGCCUUACAGUAGUAUGACAACACUGGUCAAAAAGCUUUGUAGAAUUAAUCAUCAGCAGAUGGAUUAUGACCACACUGCCCAGUUUAUUUUUUGGACAUUUUCACACUUCCUUGGUACUUCACUACCCCAACAAUCUGUACUGAAAAAGCUCACUACCUCCUCCAGUGAGCAUGCUUAGUUGCCAUUAAAAAACAAUUUAAUUGUCAGACUUUCCUCUGCUUUUUGAAAUCAAUUGCUUAUUAAUGCCAAAUGCAGCCUUGCCUUAUUGCUUGGUUUCCCUGUGGUGCUGUGUUCUGAAAACAAGAGGUGUCACAGCUGUGUGUUUCUUUCUUUAAAUCAGAAAUGCAAAUCGUCCAUUUGAAAGCAACCAGGACUGAUUUCAGAGAUAUUAUUUGUAUUUUUGCUGUAAGUGAAGUGGUCGCAGAAGGCAUGAAGCACAAAACUACCACAGUUCAGCUGAGCAGAGAUACAAGAGGGUAAUAUGCAGCCAUUAAAUAAUAGACAAGAAUGUUUCCCCUUUUGGCUGUUAAAAGUACUGCUAGGUGCAGGGAGCAGUCCUAGCAUAACACAAGAAUAGGGGAGGGAGAAUAUCAUAGUAUAGAUUUGAAGUAGAUCCAAAAAAUCCAGCUGUUCUGAUCUCAAACACCCCUCUUGUAACACCUAACAUUCUACCUUUCUUU